AGAACUGUAGUCAAUCAUGACAUAUGAUUUGCAUUCAUAAAGUGUUUAAAUAACCUGUUUUA
rnacentral:tRNA from 1 species